CAGUCGACGGUGAACUCCGCUUGCUGGAGUGGAUCAGUGGCGAACGGGUGAGUAACACGUGAGCAACCUGCCCCAAACUCUGGAAUAAGCACUGGAAACGGUGUCUAAUACUGGAUACGAGACCAACCUGCAUGGGUAUGGUUUGGAAAGUUUUUCGGUUUGGGAUGGGCUCGCGGCCUAUCAGCUUGUUGGUGAGGUAAUGGCUCACCAAGGCGACGACAGGUAGCCGGCCUGAGAGGGCGACCGGCCACACUGGGACUGAGACACGGCCCAGACUCCUACGGGAGGCAGCAGUGGGGAAUAUUGCACAAUGGGCGAAAGCCUGAUGCAGCGACGCCGCGUGAGGGAUGACGGCCUUCGGGUUGUAAACCUCUUUCAGCAGGGAAGAAGCGAAAGUGACGGUACCUGCAGAAGAAGCACCGGCUAACUACGUGCCAGCAGCCGCGGUAAUACGUAGGGUGCGAGCGUUGUCCGGAAUUAUUGGGCGUAAAGAGCUUGUAGGCGGUUUGUCGCGUCUGCUGUGAAAAUCCGGGGCUCAACCCCGGACUUGCAGUGGGUACGGGCAGACUAGAGUGUGGUAGGGGAGACUGGAAUUCCUGGUGUAGCGGUGAAAUGCGCAGAUAUCAGGAGGAACACCGAUGGCGAAGGCAGGUCUCUGGGCCACUACUGACGCUGAGAAGCGAAAGCAUGGGGAGCGAACAGGAUUAGAUACCCUGGUAGAAUCACUAGUGAAUUC
rnacentral:rRNA from 1 species